CACAUGUGCAUGGCAGGGGCAUUGUCAUAGAUACUACUUGAUAUGGUGGUGCAUGCCCGGGACCCCCACACUUGAAGGACUGAAGCAUGAGGAUUGCUGCAAGUUUAAGGCCAGCAAGGACUACAUAGUGAGACUCUGUUAAAACUACAAAACAAAACAAAAAGGUCUCUGGAACCUUUUGAUAGAGUCAGUUUGGAAUGCAAAGCCUUCACAUCAUGAAAAGUAGAAAGGCUGACGAGCACUCUGAUGUUCUAAAUCUAAGCUCUCUGGUUACCUGUGUCAGAGGACCUGCCUCAUGCUCAUGCCUCAGUCUCAUCACCUCAGCCCUUACCUCUUCCUCACUCAGCUCCUGAGGACAAACUGGGAGGAAGAAAUUGAGUUGGAGAGAAGUGAAUGAUUUGUUCAAGGUUAUAGAGGUAUAGUAGACAGUAAAAUUACUCUUCUUCAAGAACACUGGUUAUUUGCCUUGAUUUUUUUUUAAAAGUGAAAUCAACAGCUUCACAUCAGCCACUGAUCAGGUACCAGAUGGCAAAAACUUUCAGUUGCUACCACCUAGGGCUAUAUUGAAACCAAUGAAAGGCCUGUAUCUCAUUAUCGGUCCCCUGAGCUCUGCAUUCUCCCACAUGGUACUGUCCUUUUCAAGUAGAAAAGUGACAUUAUUUGAAAAACUGCCCUUGUUUUAGGAUAACCAAAAAAAUUCAAUAAUUUAAACAGGUUUGUCCUUUUAGUUUUUGAUUUUGCAUGCCAUUAUUAAGCAUGCAUUUAAUACUAUUGCAACAGAAAUUAACAAAAAUAUCAAAUCACACUAAAUUAUACAAAAAACACUACAAAAUCUUCCUUCACACUUAAGAAUUUUAGAUGAUUGAGUAGUACUACCAGGUUUAGCAAAUAAAACUAUAGAAGAUCCAGUUUAAUUUAAAAUUAUUGAACAAGCUUUUAGUUUAUAUGCUCAAAUAUUAAAUAAAACAUACAUCCACUAAAAUGUUACUCUUUUUCUUAAUCUAAAAUUCAGUUAAAAUGUACUGUAUUUCAUCUAACAACUGUACAGAUGAAAAAUGGGUAGUUCAAAUUAUUUUGUACAACUAUGAACACAAGGACAUGUAAAUUGCUCAUAAAUGUGUGUUAUAGUGUCCACUAAAGCCACUUUAUACUUGUGGGAAACAGUAAUGUCCUCUAACCAUCAUAAUACCGAUAAUCUAUGAAGAAUAAAG
rnacentral:lncRNA from 1 species